UACGGAGGGGGCUAGCGUUGUUCGGAAUUACUGGGCGUAAAGCGCACGUAGGCGGCUUUGUAAGUUAGAGGUGAAAGCCUGGAGCUCAACUCCAGAAUUGCCUUUAAGACUGCAUCGCUUGAAUCCAGGAGAGGUAAGUGGAAUUCCGGGUGUAGAGGUGAAAUUCGUAGAUAUUCGGAAGAACACCAGCGGCGAAGGCGGCUUACUGGACUGGUAUUGACGCUGAGGUGCGAAAGCUUGGGGAGCAAACAGG
rnacentral:rRNA from 1 species